GAUGAACGCUGGCGGCGUGCCUAAUACAUGCAAGUCGAGCGAACAGACGAGGAGCUUGCUCCUCUGACGUUAGCGGCGGACAGGUGAGUAACACGUGGAUAACCUACCUAUAAGACUGGGAUAACUUCGGGAAACCGGAGCUAAUACCGGAUAAUAUAUUGAACCGCAUGGUUCAAUAGUGAAAGACGGUUUUGCUGUCACUUAUAGAUGGAUCCGCGCCGCAUUAGCUAGUUGGUAAGGUAACGGCUUACCAAGGCAACGAUGCGUAGCCGACCUGAGAGGGUGAUCGGCCACACUGGAACUGAGACACGGUCCAGACUCCUACGGGAGGCAGCAGUAGGGAAUCUUCCGCAAUGGGCGAAAGCCUGACGGAGCAACGCCGCGUGAGUGAUGAAGGUCUUCGGAUCGUAAAACUCUGUUAUUAGGGAAGAACAAAUGUGUAAGUAACUAUGCACGUCUUGACGGUACCUAAGCAGAAAGCCACGGCUAACUACGU
rnacentral:rRNA from 1 species